AGAGUUUGAUCAUGGCUCAGGACGAACGCUGGCGGUGUGCUUCACACAUGCAAGUCAACGGGGUAGCAAUAUCCAGUGGCGGACGGGUGAGUAACGCGUGGGAAUCUGCCCUGGGGUGGGGGAUAGCAGGCCGAAAGGCCUAUUAAUACCGCAUAUGCCGAGAGGUAAAAGGAGUAAUCCGCCCGAGGAUGAGCCUGCGUCUGAUUAGCUAGUUGGUGGGGUAAAAGCCUACCAAGGCUACGAUCAGUAGCUGGUCUGAGAGGACGAUCAGCCACAAUGGGACUGAGACACGGCCCAUACUCCUACGGGAGGCAGCAGUGGGGAAUUUUACGCAAUGGGCGAAAGCCUGACGUAGCGACACCGCGUGAGCGAAGAAGCCCUUUGGGGUGUAAAGCUCUGUCAGCAGGGACGAAAAAAAUGACGGUACCUGCAGAGGAAGCAUCGGCUAACUACGUGCCAGCAGCCGCGGUAAGACGUAGGAUGCGAGCGUUGUCCGGAUUUAUUGGGCGUAAAGAGUUCGUAGGCGGUUUGUUAAGUCUGGUGUUAAAGGCUCGGGCCCAACCCGGGUAUCGCACUGGAUACUGGCAGACUGGAGUACAGUAGAGGCAAGUGGAAUUCCCAGUGUAGCGGUGAAAUGCGUAGAUAUUGGGAAGAACACCGGUGGCGCAGGCGACUUGCUGGGCUGUAACUGACGCUGAGGAACGAAAGCUAG
rnacentral:rRNA from 1 species